UUGGCGGAAUCCGAAAAGCCAUAAGAACAGAGUAGGAA
rfam:Chryseobacterium gallinarum strain DSM 27622, complete genome.